GGAGGCGUUCAGGCGGCUGGUGCCCCUCCCGGUCUUCAAAACCGGUGUGGCCCGGGAUCCGGGCCAGGCGGGUUCGAUUCCCGUCCGUCUCCGCCA
rnacentral:tRNA from 1 species